UACAGAGGGUGCAAGCGUUUGUUCGGAAUUAUUGGGCGUAAAGCGCGUGUAGGCGGCAGGGCAUGUCGGAUGUGAAAUCCCGUGGCUCAACCACGGAAGUGCACCCGAAACUGCCCAGCUGGAGUCUCGGAGAGGAAGGCGGAAUGCUUGGUGUAGAGGUGAAAUUCGUAGAUAUCAAGCGGAACACCGGUGGCGAAGGCGGCCUUCUGGACGAUGACUGACGCUGAG
rnacentral:rRNA from 1 species